rnacentral:rRNA from 1 species
CAGUAGCCGCGGUAAUACGAAGGGGGCUAGCGUUGCUCGGAAUGACUGGGCGUAAAGGGCGCGUAGGCGGUUUGUACAGUUGGAUGUGAAAUUCCUGGGCUUAACCUGGGGGCUGCAUUCAAUACGUGCAGGCUUGAGUGUGGAAGAGGGUUGUGGAAUUCCCAGUGUAGAGGUGAAAUUCGUAGAUAUUGGGAAGAACACCGGUGGCGAAGGCGGCGACCUGGUCCUUGACUGACGCUGAGGCGCGAAAGCGUGGGGAGCAAACAGGAUUAGAUACCCCUGUAGUCCCUGUCUCUUAUAC